GGGUCAGUAGGUUGGUCGUGCCACCGGUACGUACUGGUCUCACUGAUUCCUCCUUCCUGAAGAACCGUAAUGCCGUUAAUUUGGUGUUGCGGGGAAACAGGAUUGUUACUUUGAAAAAAUUAGAGUGUUUAAAGCAAGCUAACGCUUGAAUACAUUAGCAUGGAAUAAUGAAAUAGGACGAUCGAUCCUAUUUUGUUGGUUUCUAGGAUUGACGUA
rnacentral:rRNA from 1 species